rnacentral:rRNA from 1 species
CACGUAGGCGGGUCCUUAAGUCAGGGGUGAAAUCCUGGAGCUCAACUCCAGAACUGCCUUUGAUACUGAGGAUCUCGAGUUCGGGAGAGGUGAGUGGAACUGCGAGUGUAGAGGUGAAAUUCGUAGAUAUUCGCAAGAACACCAGUGGCGAAGGCGGCUCACUGGCCCGAUACUGACGCUGAGGUGCGAAAGCGUGGGGAGCAACA